AUUGAACGCUGGCGGCAUGCCUUACACAUGCAAGUCGAACGGCAGCGCGGACUUCGGUCUGGCGGCGAGUGGCGAACGGGUGAGUAAUACAUCGGAACGUACCCUGUUGUGGGGGAUAACUAGUCGAAAGAUUAGCUAAUACCGCAUACGACCUGAGGGUGAAAGUGGGGGACCGGAAACGGCCUCAUGCAGCAGGAGCGGCCGAUGUCUGAUUAGCUAGUUGGUGGGGUAAAGGCCCACCAAGGCGACGAUCAGUAGCUGGUCUGAGAGGACGAUCAGCCACACUGGGACUGAGACACGGCCCAGACUCCUACGGGAGGCAGCGGUGGGGAAUUUUGGGCAAUGGGGGCAACCCUGAUCCAGCAAUGCCGCGUGUGUGAAGAAGGCCUUCGGGUUGUAAAGCACUUUUGUCCGGAAAGAAAUCGCGCUGGUUAAUACCUGGCGUGGAUGACGGUACCGGAAGAAUAAGCACCGGCUAACUACGUG
rnacentral:rRNA from 1 species